rnacentral:rRNA from 1 species
AGCGAACGCUGGCGGCAGGCUUAACACAUGCAAGUCGAACGGAGUGGCGGACGGGUGAGUAACACGUGAGAACGUACCCUUAGGUUCGGAACAACACAGGGAAACUUGUGCUAAUACCGGAUACCUUUGGAGCGGCCCGCGUCUGAUUAGCUUGUUGGUGAGGUAAUGGCUCACCAAGGCUACGAUCAGUAGCUGGUCUGAGAGGCUGGCCAGCCACACUGGGACUGAGACACGGCCCAGACUCCUACGGGAGGGAGCAGUGGGGAAUCUUGCGCAAUGGGCGAAAGCCUGACGCAGCCAUGCCGCGUGGAUGAUGAAGGUCUUAGGAUUGUAAAAUCCUUUCACCGGGGACGCGGUACCCGGAGAAGUAGCCCCGGCUAACUACGUGCCAGCCGCCGCGGUAAUUC